rnacentral:rRNA from 1 species
CCAAUAGCGUAUAUUAAAGUUGUUGCAGUUAAAAAGCUCGUAGUUGAAUUUCGGGAUCAAAUUGUCGGUCGUGCCUCGGUACGUACUGGCGUUAUUGGUUCCUCCCUUCUGAAGAACCGCGAUGUCAUUAAUUUGGUGUUGCGGGGAAUCAGGACUGUUACUUUGAAAAAAUUAGAGUGUUUAAAGCAGGCUCGCGCUUGAAUACAUUAGCAUGGAAUAAUGAAAUAGGACGUUUGAUUCUAUUUUGUUGGUUUCUAGGAUCGACGUAAUGAUUAAUAGGGAUAGUUGGGAGCAAUAGUAUUCAAUUGUCAGAGGUGAAAUGCUUUGAUUUAUUGAAGACUAACUACUGCGAAAGCAUUUGCCAAGGAUGUUUUCAUUAAUCAAGAACGAAAGUUAGGGGAUCGAAGACGAUCAGAUACCGUCGUAGUCUUAACCAUAAACUAUGCCGACUAGGGAUCGGAUGAUGUUAAUUUUUUAAUGACUCAUUCGGCGCCUUACG